CACCUACGGGAGGCAGCAGUGGGGGAUAUUGCACAAUGGGGGGAACCCUGAUGCAGCGACGCCGCGUGGGUGAAGAAGCGCCUCGGCGCGUAAAGCCCUGUCAGCAGGGAAGAAAAUGACGGUACCUGACCAAGAAGCCCCGGCUAACUACGUGCCAGCAGCCGCGGUAAUACGUAGGGGGCAAGCGUUAUCCGGAUUUACUGGGUGUAAAGGGAGCGUAGACGGCUGUGCAAGUCAGAAGUGAAAGCCCGGGGCUCAACCCCGGGACUGCUUUUGAAACUGCGUGGCUGGAGUGC
rnacentral:rRNA from 1 species